rnacentral:rRNA from 1 species
GAUGAACGCUGGCGGCGUGCCUAAUACAUGCAAGUCGAGCGAACAGAUGAGGAGCUUGCUCCUCUGACGUUAGCGGCGGACGGGUGAGUAACACGUGGAUAACCUACCUAUAAGACUGGGAUAACUUCGGGAAACCGGAGCUAAUACCGGAUAAUAUAUUGAACCGCAUGGUUCAAUAGUGAAAGACGGUUUUGCUGUCACUUAUAGAUGGAUCCGCGCCGCAUUAGCUAGUUGGUAAGGUAACGGCUUACCAAGGCAACGAUGCGUAGCCGACCUGAGAGGGUGAUCGGCCACACUGGAACUGAGACACAGUCCAGACUCCUACGGGAGGCAGCAGUAGGGAAUCUUCCGCAAUGGGCGAAAGCUUGACGGAGCAACGCCGCGUGAGUGAUGAAGGUCUUCGGAUCGUAAAACUCUGUUAUUAGGGAAGAACAAAUGUGUAAGUAACUAUGCACGUCUUGACGGUACCUAAUCAGAAAGCCACGGCUAACUACGUG